UCCCGACGGCCCAAGUGGGACUCACAAUUAUUGGGUCUAAAAUAUUCGUAGCUGGUUUUGUAAGUUUCUUGUUAAAUUGCGGGGCUUAACCCUGUGGCUGCAAGAAAUACUACAAGACUAGGGACUGGGAGACGUAACGAGUACGGCAAGGGUAGUAGUAAAAUAUUUUAAUCCUCGCUGGACUAACAAUGGCGAAGGCACGUUACGAGAACAGAUCCGACAGUGAGGAAUGAAGGCCAGGGGCGCAAAAUGG
rnacentral:rRNA from 1 species